CCAGGCUCCAGCUACCCGUGUCAUCUUCUAUAAGGACGGGGAGGAGGUUUCAUCCCAGAUUGGUUCGGAGGAGAAAGUCACCUAUGGCUAUGACCAUGUGGUGUCCACGGGCAGCUCCGGGAAUUACUCCUGUGGGUACGAGAUUAAGGACAGAGACAACCAGGUGAUCAGAUCCCAGCUCAGCCCUGCCCAGCACCUCAGCAUCACUGGCCCUGAUCUGAAGCUCUUACUGGGAAUUACAAUCCCUGCCGUUGUGGUUCUGGCUGUGGUGCUUUAUCUUCUGAGAAAGAAAGUUGUGUCUCUACCAAGAGAUCAAAGGGAACGAGUCCAGCGUGACACUAGCAACACACCUGAAGAUCAUAUUGAAUGCGCCUCUGUGGAUUCUCUGGGAACCCCCAGGAAAGAAGAGACUUCGAUAUACGCGAACGUCAUUCCGCGGCGGGACAGAUGUCAUUAAUGCUCCACUUGCUGAAAUGCAGGAGUCGUCAGUGCGCAGCCACAUCACAGAACCUCCAAGGGGGCCAUACAGCAAGGAAGUGGGGGAUCUUCUCCAGGACCACAGCAGGACAAUGCACAGCACCCAAAGUGCUGUAGGA